rnacentral:rRNA from 1 species
GACGAACGCGGCGGCGUGCUUACACAUGCAAGUCGAACGAAGAGCGAUGGAAGCUUGCUUCUAUCAAUCUUAGUGGCGAACGGGUGAGUAACGCGUAAUCAACCUGCCCCUCAGAGGGGGACAACAGUUGGAAACGACUGCUAAUACCGCAUACGAUCCAAUCUCGGCAUCGAGACUGGAUGAAAGGUGGCCUCUAUUUAUAAGCUAUCACUGAAGGAGGGGAUCGCGUCUGGUUAGCUAGUUGGAGGGGUAACGGCCCACCAAGGCGAUGAUCAGUAGCCGGUCUGAGAGGAUGAACGGCCACAUUGGGACUGAGACACGGCCCAGACUCCUACGGGAGGCAGCAGUGGGGAAUUUUUCGCAAUGGACGAAAGUUUGACGGAGCAAC